CAGCAGCCGCGGUAAUACAGAGGGUGCAAGCGUUAAUCGGAAUUACUGGGCGUAAAGCGCGCGUAGGUGGUUUGUUAAGUUGGAUGUAAAAGCCCCGGGCUCAACCUGGGAACUGCAUCCAAAACUGGCAAGCUAGAGUACGGUAGAGGGUGGUGGAAUUUCCUGUGUAGCGGUGAAAUGCGUAGAUAUAGGAAGGAACACCAGUGGCGAAGGCGACCACCUGGACUGAUACUGACACUGAGGUGCGAAAGCGUGGGGAGCAAACAGGAUUAGAUACCCCAGUAGUCCCUGUCUCUUAUAC
rnacentral:rRNA from 1 species